rnacentral:rRNA from 1 species
GACGAACGCUGGCGGCGUGCCUAAUACAUGCAAGUUGAGCGCUGAAGGUUGGUACUUGUACCGACUGGAUGAGCAGCGAACGGGUGAGUAACGCGUGGGGAAUCUGCCUUUGAGCGGGGGACAACAUUUGGAAACGAAUGCUAAUACCGCAUAAAAACUUUAAACACAAGUUUUAAGUUUGAAAGAUGCAAUUGCAUCACUCAAAGAUGAUCCCGCGUUGUAUUAGCUAGUUGGUGAGGUAAAGGCUCACCAAGGCGAUGAUACAUAGCCGACCUGAGAGGGUGAUCGGCCACAUUGGGACUGAGACACGGCCCAAAAGCCCACGGGAGGCAGCAGUAGGGAAUCUUCGGCAAUGGACGAAAGUCUGACCGAGCAACGCCGCGUGAGUGAAGAAGGUUUUCGGAUCGUAAAACUCUGUUGGUAGAGAAGAAAGUUGGUGAGAGUGGAAAGCGCAUCAAGUGACGGUAACUACCCAGAAAGGGACGGCUAACUACGUG